UCAUUCGGAUUCGCCAUCAUACGUCCAACCGUGCAUUUGAUAUGCAUAUAUAUGCAUCACGAGCCACGGUUGGGCUGUAUGAUGGCGAUACCGAUUGG
rfam:Triticum urartu cultivar G1812 contig152021, whole genome shotgun sequence.